ACGGCCGUACCAUGCUGAAUAUACCGGUUCUCGUUAGAUCACCGAAGUCAAGCAUCAUUGGGCGCGGUCAGUACUUGGGUGGGUGACCACCUGGGAACACCGCGUGCCG